GUGUCGUUCUGCCUAGGAACUGCUGAGACGUUCCGUUUAAAUGUCCCACAGCUGGGAACUGAGAUGACCUGGUGUAAAAGUGAAGCAAGUAAUCGAGGAUAACGUGAAGUGGAGUCGAUUCGGGAAGCUCUUGCUGUGUGGCACACCAGGAGAUGAACCUGCGCCAUUUUGAAAGGUACUUUGGGACUCCCACUGCUUGAAAGUAAGAUGCUCGCCUCAUGACUACCACCGGGGCCGUGGAAUGGGCUGCUGUAUCCGCCACAUUCAUUGCUAUCUGGAGGGCCAUUCUCACCGAUGUAUAGCCCUCCUGCACAACCGAUUUUAGUAUGGGCCUUUUAGACUCUGGCAGGUGAUCCAACAGUGGCGUCAGCUUUGUAAAUGUAUCGAAUAUGUGAUUAGAGAGAUGUGAAGUGUAAUUGGCAAUUCUGAGCAUAAGUAUUGUGGAUGUGUAGAC